rnacentral:rRNA from 1 species
CCUACGGGAGGCAGCAGUGGGGAAUAUUGGGCAAUGGGCGCAAGCCUGACCCAGCAACGCCGCGUGAAGGAAGAAGGCUUUCGGGUUGUAAACUUCUUUUAAGAGGGAAGAGCAGAAGACGGUACCUCUUGAAUAAGCCACGGCUAACUACGUGCCAGCAGCCGCGGUAAUACGUAGGUGGCAAGCGUUGUCCGGAUUUACUGGGUGUAAAGGGCGUGCAGCCGGGAAGACAAGUCAGAUGUGAAAUCCCGCGGCUCAACCGCGGAACUGCAUUUGAAACUGUUGUUCUUGAGUACCGGAGAGGUCAUCGGAAUUCCUUGUGUAGCGGUGAAAUGCGUAGAUAUAAGGAAGAACACCAGUGGCGAAGGCGGAUGACUGGACGGCGACUGACGGUGAGGCGCGAAAGCGUGGGGAGCGAACAGGAUUAGAUACCCCUGUAGUC